rnacentral:rRNA from 1 species
UACGGGAGGCAGCAGUGGGGAAUAUUGCACAAUGGGCGCAAGCCUGAUGCAGCCAUGCCGCGUGUAUGAAGAAGGCCUUCGGGUUGUAAAGUACUUUCAGUCGUGAGGAAGGUGUUAAGGUUAAUAACCUUAGCAAUUGACGUUAGCGACAGAAGAAGCACCGGCUAACUCCGUGCCAGCAGCCGCGGUAAUACGGAGGGUGCGAGCGUUAAUCGGAAUUACUGGGCGUAAAGGGCACGCAGGCGGUUAAUUAAGUUGGAUGUGAAAUCCCCGGGCUUAACCUGGGAAUGGCAUUCAAGACUGGUUAGCUAGAGUCUUGUAGAGGGGGUAGAAUUCCAUGUGUAGCGGUGAAAUGCGUAGAGAUGUGGAGGAAUACCGGUGGCGAAGGCGGCCCCUGGACAAAGGCUGACGCUCAUGUGCGAAAGCGUGGGGAGCAAACAGGGAUUAAUACC